rnacentral:rRNA from 1 species
UAGUCUCUGCCCAAUGAAUAUUUAAAUGGCUGCAGUAUUUUGACUGUACAAAGGUAGCAUAAUAAAUUGUUCUUUAAUUAAGAUCUAGAAUGAAAGAGGUGAUGAAUUAAAAUCUUUAUUUAUUUUAUUAAUUGAAUUUAAAUUUAAAGUUAAAAUGCUUUAAUAAAUUUAUGGGACGAGAAGACCCUAUAGAAUUUAAUUUUUAUAAAUAAUUUUUUUAUUUAUAAAAAUUUAUUUGGGAGGAAUAUUAAAUUUAUCAACUUUUUUAAAUUUUAUACAAAUAUAUUUGAUUAUUUUGAUUUUAAAUUUAAUUAUUAGAGUAAAUUACCUUAGGGAUAACAGCAUAAUAUUUUUGGAAAGAUCAUAUUUAUAAAAAUGUUU